GGUUGCAGGGGGUGUAAGGAGUGAACUGUGUGGUGGGGAGGGGGCUGCAGGGCCAGCCCCAGGGCCAGCAGCCAGAACAGGACUUUGCUUUUGCUGUGAGUGUCCCAGAGUUUGUGUGUCCCAGGGUUUCCUGCCAGGGCUCAGCCCCAGAGAAGCCACAGACGGUGACAGGGGUGGCACUCAGGGGUGGCACUCGGUGCUUCCAUUCCUGAGGUGAGGGAGCAGCAGGUGGCUGGACCAAGAGACGAUUCUGCAGGAUGGCGGGAGCUGCUCUUGCAGUUUGGUAAUACCUGUGUGGUCUUUUUGGGUUAUCAUAGAAGGGUUUGGGCUGAAAGGGACCAUAGGAACUAUCUCCUUCCACCCCCUGCCAUGGGCAAGGACACCUUCCACUAUCCCAGGCUGCCCCAAGCCCUGUCCAGCCUGGCCUUGAGUAUGUCCAGAGCUUCUCUGGACGCCCUGUGCCAGUGCCUCCCCACCCUCCCUAAUUCCCUAAUACCCCAUCUAACCCUUCCCUGUGCCUGUUGAAACCAUUCCCCCUUGUCCUGGCACUCCAUGCUCUUGUAAAACAUCCCCCUCCAGCUUUCCUGUAGGUUGUAGAAGGCAGUGCUGCCUAAUUGGAUGGUGAACAUGAAUAAAAUCCAUUUUUCAAAGUUGA